GUUGGGUAAGUCCCGCAACGAGCGCAACCCUCGACCUUAGUUGCCAGCAUUCAGUUGGGCACUCUAAGGUGACUGCCGGCUAAAAAGUCGGAGGAAGGUGGGGAUGACGUCAAAUCAUCAUGCCCCUUAUGACCUGGGCUACACACGUGCUACAAUGGGCGGUACAAAGGGGUCGCGAACCCGCGAGGGGGAGCCAAUCCCAAAAAGCCGCUCUCAGUUCGGAUUGCAGGCUGCAACUCGCCUGCAUGAAGCCGGAAUCGCUAGUAAUCGCGGAUCAGCAUGCCGCGGUGAAUACGUUCCCGGGCCUU
rnacentral:rRNA from 1 species